AAAUGCUCCUCAUAUGCCACUUCAGGACGGGAGAGCAAGAUCACCUGCAUAGGAGACACCCCAUAUUACAGAUGAGGAUACGAAGCAUUCGAGGCAUUGAAAUGACCAGUCAGUGUCACAUGGCAGGGAAAGGGUACACCUGAGCUUUCACGUUAGGUCUUUCUGACUUCCGCAUUUCUUCGCCCAUAGGCCACCACCUAAGAGCUGUCCUUCAGCUGUGACCCAUUGGGCCAAAUGUUCCGAAGCUAAUUCUGUCCUGAUGAAGAUCUGAGUUUAUGUGCAGAAGGCUGGCUCCCUUACCCUCUUUACAGCCAGCUUGGGAAGUGUGGGGCCAUUAUUGAUUCAAAGAACUGUUCUGCCCCCUUCUACCUCUUUUCUUCUCCUUAGAUUCUAAUUCUACACAUGCUGGAUCAUGCUUGAUAUUUUCCCACAGGGCUCUGAGCUUCUGUCUAUUUUCUUUCACUACUUUUAAUCUCUGUUGUUUGGAUGAGAUAGUUUCCAUUGAUUUAUCUUCCUAUUACAUAUUCACUGAUUGUUUUCUUCGUUCCUUACAUGAUCAUUCAUUGUUACCAUAUUUUGAAACUUUUGUCUGAUAAUUACAACAUCUGUUCCCAGGUAUUGUCAUUUCCUAAGGCCUGAGUGUGAAUUCUUCUUAUCUGUUUCUUUGCACAUGGAAUAAUUUUUGGUUGAAAAUGGGGCAUUGCAGAUAAUACAUUGUAGUGACUCUGUAUUAUGUUGUGUUCUUCUGAGGAUUAUUGGAUUUUUGUUAUUGGAAGCACUUAACCUGCCUGGCUUGAAAGGAUAUUGUAGUACCUGAUAUUUUUGCUCUAUUCCUGUGGCUUCUUUAGCCUGGUUCCUGGGGAGUCUUUCGGAUGCCUGCAUAACUUGGUUAUUUGUCAAGAAUUUGGGCAACAAUGGGACUCACACUUUCAGUAAUUUUGUUCCCUAGGGAUUCCCCCCCACCCCAUAUUUCUAAUUUGUCUGUUAACCCCAGGCUCUGUCUCCUGAGAUUUCAAGCCCAUAAGAUUUCGGCUUUCUGCUCCCCAAGCUGUGCGAAGUGGUGCAGAGUUAAAAAAACAAAACAAAAGAGAACAGAACACUCACAGAUCUCAUCCCUUGUCCCUCUAUCUUUAAAGAGUAGACUUCCUCCUGAUCUCUUUAUGCUUUUUGCUGGCCCGUCUGCCUCUCUCCCAUGUGUGCAUAGUUUAGCUAUCAGCCAGGGAUUUGGGCAGAAUUUAUGCUUCAGGGAAGCCAACACAAGAGAAAUUAGACUUGAGAGAUGGUGAGAUAAGGUAUUAGUUUGGCCUCCUGGAAGCAGAUCUGCCUGAAAUUUUUCAUACCUAAAGUGUAUACCUAGGCUUUUUAGUUACCUGAACUUACAAAUGCCUUUUAUGCUUAAGCCAAUUUGAGCUGAGUUUCUAUCACUUAUAACCCAAGGAGCGCUAGAUGAAAGAGCCUUGUCUCUUUAGCCCCUGCAAGAUAAGGUUAGAACUUAAGGGCUUCAUGAUUGUAGUGGAUUGAAUAAUGUCCCCACAAAAUUCAUGUCUACCUGGAACCUCAGAACAUGACUUUGUUUUGAAAUAGGGUUUUUGCAGAUAUAAUUAGUUUAGGAUUGAGAUGAGGUCAUAGUGGGUCAGAGUGGGCUUUAAAUCCAAUGACUGAUGUCCUUGUAAGAAGAAGUGAGGACACGCAGAGACACAGAAUAGAGGGUGAUGUAAAGAUGGGAGCAGAGAUUGGAGUGAUACACCUAUACACCAAGAAGGAAAGGGUUGCCAAGAGCCACCGGAGUUUGGAAGAGGCAGAGAAGGACCCUCUACCAGAGAUUUCAAAGGGAGCAUGGCCCUUGACAUAGAAUUGAUUUCUGUUGUUCUAAGCCACCCAAUUUGUGGUCAUUUGUUGCGACAGCUGUAGGAAAUUAAUACUAUGGUCUAACUCCUGCUUAUUUUUCCAGCCUCAUCGCAGAAGACACAGAGCAGAGCAGAUAACCCUGCAGGCCCUCAGGGAACAAUGCGAACAAAUGAGGGCUACUUCCUACAAGGUGAAGAAUAAUAAUGGCUUCUGUGAAUUAAGCACCUGUUCUCCAAGGCACGAGAGUCCCAGCUGGACACGACCGGGGUCUGUGUGGCUUCAGAGUCCAACAGAUGACUUGCCGUCUCUCUGCACUGCCUACUUACAAGGAAAAACCAGAACAGGAAGCACUGGCCGGCUUCUGUGAAUUGCAUGUUGUUGGAAUUCCUGUCCUUCCUCGACCCAGAUUUGUAAACACAGGCUUUGGAAGCCAAAGUACACAGGGGCAGAUGUGAAGAAGCUGUCCAGGCAGGGGAGAGUCACAUGUGUCCUGGCGGGCGGCAGCUGUGUGCCCAGUACCAUGAUGCUGCCAUAGAGUAUCCUGCAGUGUUGGCCAAUGUGAUCAUCGCUGUCCUUAAACCAUUGUUAUAACCAACCUGAUAACAACCUGCUGCUUACACCAGAUACGGUGACAAUCUCUAAGAAGUCGCUAGUUACGUUGGAGGCUAACUCUGGAUCAUUCCUCCUUUGUCAGCGGAACUCAGUGAGUCUGAAUGAAUCAUAAUGAAGAAACAUAACUUGUUGGGGCUUCCCAAGACACAGAAAGGAAUCUGGCCAACCUUUCUGUUGAAGCUUUAUGAGAGAGGUCCCGUGUCAUGAAGAAGGAUGCUGAGCAUGAGGAAUAUGCCAUCUAUGACUUCUUCCAGGUUUCUGAUCCUUCCAGGGAGGGGAUCUCAGCACUUUCUGGCUCUUGUCAAGAAACCAAAUUGUUGAAACCAAGCAACUUGUUCCCAGUGGUAAACAUAUGAGUGUUCAUACGGCAAAGAGAAAAGUUGAGCAUAGGUUCAUGCAGCCUCACCACGUAUUUCCCCAGCCACCUACCAGUGGGACUUCUUAGAUUACUUGGAGUCAAGUCGCUGUGAGAUGCUGGGCUUCUCUGAGCCUCACUUUUCCCAUCUGCAAAAUGGACAUAACAAGACCUGCCGUUCUGUGUUUGUUCAUUCACCACAGGGCUUUGCCUGUGACUGACCAGGUGACCUGGGGCUCCCGUCUCUGAUCUCCUGGAGUAACUCACACUCUACAAAUACAACUUGUGUUUGUGGCCCAAGCCUCUGAAGAUGAUGAUGGUAUUAAUAAUGAACUCUCAAAAUGGCAGCCACAGGAACACAGACUAUCCAAAACAGAAGAAAAAGGGAAUCAAGAUGAAGGGGAAUACCUUCUUCAGCGAAUACUAGUUAUUUACUUUGGGUUUGGCCACUAAUCUCAGGACAGAAAUGAAUGAAAAUUUACCCAAAAGACACAUGAGCAUGAAGAGUUAAAUCAAAAAAAGAAAAAAAUACUUUGGACUUUUACUUUAAAAUAUACCUUUGAAUUUAACAAUCUGUAACUUGCUCCUUUCCCUCCACUUAGCAAGCUUCUCGAGCACCCUUCUCCUCCUCAUGUUCUGGGAACAAUGGAUGUUUCAUAUAAAAAUAGGUGUAAGUCACUGUGUGAAUAAAAUGAAUAAAUAUGAUGUGCCUCGAAACAGUACCUCAUUGGAAGCUGCAUUCUUCCCUUAGCCUGAGGGGAUGUGUAGCUUACAUUUGCGUGUUGCCUUGGUGUUUGAAGGCUUCUGUGAACAUUUAGCUCAUUUGUUUUUUGCAGAUUUUUUUUAAUUGUAAAAAAAGUGUUUGUAUACUGUACAAAUUUGCCAUUUCUCCUUCUUUUACCCCAGGGUAAAUCAAAAGGAACCAUACAGUCAAUGAAUCACAAUGAACAUCCCUUAGCUGGUCGCCUUGUAGUCCCCUUUCUAGUCUCUUAUUUAUGCUACAUCCAGGGUCAUCUUUCAGGAACUCACAUGUGUAACAUCCUUUGGUGACUUCCUCAGUGGUCACAGGAUAAAGUUCCAGUCCCCUCACAGGGUGGGUGAGUGUCUCUACUAUGAAGCUUUCUUUACCUUUCCAGUUAUAUCUCUUCUCCUAUUGUAGGCUCUGCAUCAAAGUCACUCUACAGUUUACAGAAGAGUCAAUGCUUGGUCACCUCUCUAGGCCUUUGCUUACACAGUUUCCUUGGAAUUGAAUGUUUUCCCCCCAUUAAUCAGCCUAUCUUGGGAGCAGACUGCAGAGAGCAAAGGAUGCAAUUUGGGGCAGUUGUAAGGCAACCAAGCCCGUCCGUUCUCCUUCAAUCCUUGCAAAUACGAGAUUCAUCUAUUAUUGGGAAGAAUGAGAAAUCCAAGUGGGGGACUACCGAUCCAUGCCACAGUGUCCAGUGUGCUGAGCAUCCUUUAUGUACUGGGUGCUGGGAAUACGGCAAUGAAUCAUCCUUUGGGGAACUUGCAGCUAGCGGGGAAGAUAAGGCCAGUCCGUGAACUCCCAGAACACCAGGCAGGAAGUUAUAAGAAGAAUAUGUAUAAAUAGAGGGUUCCAUAUAAAGCUCAGAAGAGAGAGAAACUAUAUUAAGCUGAAGCAUUCAGAAAAAACAUUUUGGAGCAUUUGCUAUGUGACUUGGACCUUGAAAAUGGGAAAGAUUUAAAUACGUGCAGAUGGUUUGGGAAAUGGGGGGAGUAUUGGUGCCAGAGUUCAUUCUGUGCAAAGGCAAGGCGGUGGAAGAAAGCUGGGUUUUCAGAGAGAACAAAGAGAUCAGCUUAGCAAGAGCAAGGAAGAACUGAAGAAAUAAAAGGAGGAAAGAUAGAACCGGGCCAGGUGAUGGAGGAAGCAGAAGUGUGAGCUGGUGACUGACCUGCAGAUCCCCAGACAUGAAGCUAGCUGGAAAUGCAGAACACUUCCUCUCUGAUUCAAGUUGGAACAAGGUUGCCUGGUGGCAGAGGUGCAAAACUUGGUUGGAACACUACCUGUUUGCCUUUAGACAUCAGCAAGGGGAUGCCAAUACCUUGGAGUUGUGUUAGAGUACAUUUUUCAUCUUGUCCUUCUACAGUUUAUUAGAAAUGUGUAUCCUGAAAUGCGUGGGAUCACUUGUUGAUCACAUGUUGAUAAGAUCUCAAUAUUGAAAAGAAAAAGCCAGAGGAAUGCCAAGUUACUCUGUGUGUGUAUGUGUUCAUCUUCUUGCAGAGGUCAAAGGGCUUGGCCAACAUCAUCCCUUUGAGCUUUCAUGCUCCAAUGGGGGCUUUUUAAAGGAGGAAGUUAAAGAAAUAUGGGCCAUAGAAGAAAAUGCUCCAUGAGAAUUAAGGUAACCAAAGAACUGCCUGUAUUUGGAUAUUCUCUAAGUAAGACAGUGCUUGGUCGGCCAGAGGUGGACCUUGGCUCUUGGACUGAUUGAACUCUGAUUAUAUCCUGAGUUCUACCACCUGUCACUGCUCUUCUGAAAUUAUAAAGGGAUUAGGUCUUGUGUCUAUUCAACAAACAUUUUCUGUGUCCCAACUAUAUAUCAGGAUUUGUGUUGUGUGCUACACUAGGGGUUGUAGAUGGAGGCACAAAAUGAAAUUGAAAUGGUCCUUCUUGAGGAUGGUGCAGUCUGAUGGGGUAGACACAUAUGUCCAUAUAUUUUCCAAAGCAAUGUAUUAAUGGAUCAGAUGGCAAGAAGCACAGGGUGCCAUGGGAGCCCCGAGGAGGAACACAUCCUUACUUAGCCUGAGCUAAGGGUGUUGGGAAUGGCCAGGGAGCGUCGUCUAAAGGAACUGAUACAUCAGUGUCUUCUCUACUAUUGGUCCAGCUUUAAAAUUAUAGCCUCUCAAAGCUGGCUACCCCUGAGGUCACAGUACCUAUCAAACUUAAUUAUCAUCCCUUGGGUCAUUAUCUGAUCUACUAUAAACUUCAAAAGACAGAGAUUGUUUCUAUUUUGCUCGUAAUGUGUCUCAACCAUGUAACAGUACUGACACCGUGUAGGUACCUUAUAAAUAUGGGUGGUGUGUUAAGGGAGAACAUGUUAGCACAUGGAUUUCACCCUCUCCCUCUCAGUGCUAAGGGGAAUUCUGUUGUAAUAUUUAAUGACUGCUUUCUGCAUUCCUAACUCUGAGCCAAGUCUAGAAGGAAACAACAAAAAAGGAAAAGUGUGUGGAAUGUUUGGACCAAACCGAACCUUGGACAUCUGCUGAUUCUAUGCCUCAUUUCUACAGAUAGAAAGUUGAAAUUCAGAGAAGUUACACUAUUAGUGCAAGGUCUUCCAGGUGAUUGUAGUGGAACAAGUCUAAAAUCUAGCUAUCCUGAUUUCCAGUCCUCAGUUCCUUGCUGUGAGUCACUAGUAUUCUUCUAUCAGUUACAGAUAUGUAGGGAGGACGCACAAAGAAUUCUGGGAAGGACUCAUUUCUUUUGCUAUCACACAGAAUGCUUCCAAAUUCUAAAGGAGUCUCAUCUUGCAGCCAGGAAGAUAAUGAUGCUUUUAGAAGAAGCUGAUUCAAGGCCCUCUAAGAAGGGAUUCCCCCAACUACACAAUGAUGUUUUUGAAACAACUGGUCUGCAAGUCCCCUGGGGAGUCUCCACAGUGCUCUUCUGUCUUGGCGAGGACACAGGAUUCUGGCUCCAAGGAGACCUGUUAGGAUCUGACCAGCGGUUCCAGGGAUGCAUCCUGUUUUCUCCUCGAAUUCUAUGCAUGGUCUCAUGAUGGUAAUUUCUACAGUGACCCAAGAGGAUUGGAUCUAACAAAUUAUCUACCAGUGGAAAACCAAUUAAGUCUCCCCACCGCCUGCCACUUGACAACCACAUUCUGGUUUUGUAAGAACUCAACAACAGCAUCUAGUCUAAAGAAGGGUGGAAGGAAUUUGGUAAAAGGUAAUCCUCAGAUUGCUUUAAAACAUAAGGUCCUCCUUCUUUCAGCAUCCUUGCCAAUGUUUACUGCUUCAUCUUGACGAUCCGGAGAGGAAAAUUACAUGUGUCAAUCACCUCCUGAUAAAAUAUCACAUAUACCUAAAGUUUUUCUGUAAAAACAUAGAUCAUAAGUAUUUUUGGCUUUGUGGGGCAUACAAAAUCUCUGUCCUAACUCCUCCACUUUGCCAUUGUACAGAAAGCAGCCAUAGACAAUCUGUAAAUAAAUGAACAUGGUUGUAUUCCAAUAAGACUUUAUUUACAAAAUCAGAGGACUAGACAGAGUUGGCCCAGGGGCUGCAGUUUACCAACCUCUGCUCUAAACCAGCUCAACACGAGCUAAACUACUUCCUUCUUUUUGCCUAAGAAUUACUCUGCCUCUCAUUUAUCUUUGUUCUUUGACCUUAGGAGUUGGCCUUGAGAAAAAGCAAAGCUGGUAUGAAAGUUUAAGAAUCGUAUACAGUUAAAGGAGAAAGUUAACAUUUAUUCAACCCCUAUUACUAAGAGCUGUCCAUGGUAAAUAUUAUGGCCCUCAUAGAAGAGGAAACUCAGGUAUAGAGAGGUUAAAUAAUUGCCUAAACUCUCAUGGCUGAAAGUGGUGGACACAGGAUUUGUACACAGCUCUGUCUGGCUUUGAGCUGUACUUCUAACAAAUCUUACAAUGGCUACCUUAAGGCAGCCAGACUGUCUCUAUGCCCCCUGCACAAUAGCUCACAUAAACACAACAAAUCCUUGACUAUAAAAACCUAAUUAAGAGACAGGACUCACAUGGAAGAUUGUGACAUAGCUGUCAUCUCUGAAAUUUUCCUCAGGGAGGUGGUUGGGUUAUUUAUGGGGUGACUGUUGCAGAGUGGGGUAAAGGAUGAGCAAUAAUGCAAACACAGUGAUGGGGAAGAGAAGUGACAGUGUGGCAAAGCAUAAACUUGCAUCUGAUCAUUCUAUUAUAUUGCCCAAUCCCUGCAAAUAUCCUCUGCAUGAAGCAAUGCAGGGGACAAAAAGAUGGAAAAAAAAGUGCCUCCCUCCAAGCCUGGUAUAGCCUCAAAGUUGAACAAAUGUGACUGAAGAACAGAAGAAUGAACAGUGCAUACAGGCAUAGGGAGACGGAAGGACUGACAAAGCAGGCAUGUUCAGGGAACUGAUGGUAAUCCAGUGUCUGCCACAAACCUAGCUGCAUGCUAACCAAGUCCCAUUACCUGCAUGGGCCUUAAUUAUUCUGUAGAAUGAGACAUUUGGGCUAAAUAGUUUUUAAGGUUCUUUUAAGCUCAGAGGUUCAAAUUCUGUAUCUGAAUUGAUAGUGAGCGAGAGAUGAGACUUGCUCCUACCCACAAAUCUCCUUCCCCCUGUUUAUCCCACUUCCAGAAUUAGAGCUCAGACAGGUGCAAUACAAGAUCCUCCAUGCAGAUGUUCAUGCAGGCAAUGCAUACUUCCACUGAGAAUCACAAUUCUCACUCUCUACCCCUGCCAUCCAUGUCCUUUAAUGGAGGAGGAUCCCCUGCUUCUGGUCAUUCAGGCUCCUUGUUAAGCCCCUUGCUCACAAAGGCUGAGUGUCUGAGCAUAAGGACCUAAUUGGAGUGGUGUGCGGAGCCUCUUUGUUGGCACCUUCUCCCCUGCAGAAGCCACGGCCAUGCUAUUCCUCUGUGCACAGGACUGACUGCUUUCCCCGCAUUCUGGAUUUUACUCUUCCUUGCUGCUUUUCUCUUGUUUUGAAGAUAAUUUUUAAAGAUCUUAUUACAAGUACAAUACACAGUCCUUAUGGAAAGAUCAGAAAGUUUAAGUAAGCACAAAGUAGAUACAUUUACGUAUAAAACUAUGACCUAAUGCAAAUCACUAUCAACUCACUGGAUAUAUAUCCUUUUGAAAUUUUCCCUUGAAUAUUGUAACUAUGUUUUUUUUUCUUUCUCCUUUUCUUUUCUUUUUUCUUUUCUUUCCAUUCUUGUCUUCUCCUUCCCCAUCUUAACCAUUUUUAACUGUGCAGUUCAGUAGUGUUAAGUAUAUUCACGUUGUUGUGCAAUUAUUAUCCAGAACUCUUCAUCUUGCAGAAUGGAAAUUCUGUUCUCAUUCAGCAAUAACUCCUUAUUACCCCUCCUUCAGCCCCUGGCAACACCUGUCUACUUCCAUCUCUGUGAAUUGGAUGACUCUAAGUAUCUCAUAUAAGUGGAAUCAUAUAGUAUUUGUCUCUCUGUGACUGGCUUAUUUCCCUCAGCAUAAUAUCCUUGGAUUCAAUCAUGCUAUAGCAUGCAACAAAAUUCCCUUCAUUUUUAAGGCUGAAUAAUAUUCCUUUGUGUGUAUACAACACUUUCACCCAUUGAUGGAUGCUCGGGUUGCUUCUACCUUUUAGCUAUUCUGAAUAAUGCUGCUGUAAACAUAGGUGUCUACAAAUAUCUCUUUGAUAAAUGGCUUUCAGUUCCUUUGGGUAGAUACUCAGAAGUGGAAUUGUUAGAUCAUAUGGUAAUUCUAUUUUUAUAUAUUUGAGGAACCCCUAUCCUGCUUUCCAUGGCAGCUGCACUAUUUUACAUUCUCACCAACAGUUCCAAUUUCUCUCUAUCCUCACCAUCACUCUUUAUCUUCUCUGUUUUAGUUUGUGUGUGUAUGUGUGUGUGCAUAAUAGUAACCACUCACAAUGGGUAUGAGGUCGUUCUCCGUGUCUUUUUUUCCCUCCAUUUCUUUUAAUAAUACUAAUGAAAGGAUUCACACCAGUUUGAAACCUGCAUUUUCCCCUUUAAUGCCAUAAACGUUUUUUAGCCAUCAAGUAUCCAUUGAUAAAAUAGCUUCCGCUGGCUGCCUAGUUUUCUGCUCCUUCACUCUCUUGCUUACUGUGCAACCCUGGCCACGUUGCUUGAUCUUUCCCUGCUUCAGUUUCUGCAGUUGUAAAAUGGGGUGAUAACAUACCUUGAGAGGCCUUACAAGAAUGUUGUGAGGGUUAAAUGAGGUGAUUACAUUAAAAGAACCUAGAGUGGUUAUUGGCACACUGUCAGCAGUUGAUCAAUGUUAGCUAUCAUCACCAAUACUUUUAUGAUUAUUUGCCCACUGCAUGGAUGGAUCAAUAAGUAAUUCCUCACUGACCUUCAGAUGUUCCUGAUUUUUCAGUUUAUAAAAAGACCUGAACGUUAGCUACAUGGUUGGAGUCAUUUCUUUUUUUUAAAAGCCACCCAAACAGGUGGCUUUAUCAGGUAUUAGUUGACCAUAGGGGAGAACUCCAUCCCCAUUGAGACCAGGCUCUAUUCCUGGCUUCCCCAGAACAGCUUUUGGUCAUGUAGAGCAAGGUCCCCCUGGAAUCCACUGCUCUGGCCUUGGAUUUUAAACACGCCUUCUCAUAAUUCAUUGCCAAGGUAUCUCACCUGCAGAUCUGUGAACCUGAAGCUUUUCUGGGGGCUCAGCACAAUGAUGCAUGGCCUGGAGAAAGUUUAGUCAAAUAUUUACAUGGAGGAAUGUGGCAUUUCCUAUCCUGGUGCUCUGAUUACCAUCAGAGUCUUAUCUUUCCCCGUAAAAGGAAGUGUGGACAACAUGUAUUAAGUUGUCAACACAAGAAAAAUAUAAGGUCGAAAAUAGAGGGUCUGGGAGACUUCCCGAUGUUCUAUGUAAUCUCAUCUGAGAGUAAGAGGGAGAUUCUCCUGGAAGAGGGGCUGAGGGCUUUCUGAGGCUGGGAAGCCUAUGAGGUCACGUAUACUUUAGUGGGUAGUGUAUCUGCCUUCUCAUUAAAUCCAGGGUUGUUUAAGUGGUCAUAUGACCCUGUGUGCAUUGUGCCCAGAAAGGGAAGGAAUGGCCGAUGGCCAGGACAGACCCCCAUCUCAAGCAUCUCUGUGAUGGAAACACACAUCAGAGGGCCCUUCUCUGAAAUGAAGCCCACUGCUACAUGGGGAGAGAAUGUGCUAACAGGUCAGGCAGAACUAGACUGGAAUUCUGCCUGUAACACCAUAAACUUCCAUCCUUGAGCAGGUCAUGAAACAUCUCUGAGCCCUAGUCUUCUUGUCUGUGAGCUAGAGGCUAUAUGACUCACAUGCAUGCUUCAUGUAAAGAUGAGAUAAGGUAGUAUGUGUAAAGUUCCAAGAUGAUGGUUUGCUGUAUGAGAUAAAGAGUGACCAUGCCAAGUUUAUAAAUUCCCACUAAAUGCAGGGAAGUUGGAUGUUUUUGAAACCUGGGCACUCUGUAAUGAAUAAAUGCCUGACUUUAGUAAUUUUUUUUUAAUAUUGAAAAUAGGACCCCUAGGAGUUGAAAGGCUCCUCGCUGGAAAGUACUAACCAGGACCAAGGUCAUCAUACACAAGCUUUGCUAUGAAAGGACUCAUCCCAGCCCAAGAUUAAGUCAUCAUUGUGUUUCCCCUGUGGGGUUUCAGUGUCAUCCCUAGAAACUCAGAAUAAUUCAUUCAUCCAUCCAUUCUUUCCACCACCAGUUACUGAGGGCUCCCUGUGUUCUGGGAGCCGUUGCAGGCACUGAGGAUCCUGGCUUGAAGGGGACCUGGUACCUGCCUUCAGGUUGAUCAUGGUGGUCCUGAUCUAGUGGAAGAGAAAGACCUCUAAACUGACCAUUUCAUGUCAUAAAUUGACAAUUACAACCCGAGCAAUAUGCAGUGAGAGAAUAGUAUACUUAACUAUAGUCACCAUGCUGUGCAUUAGACCCCAGAUCUUAUGUAUCUUACACCCGGAAGUUUGUACCCUUUGAACACCUAGCAUUUCAUAGGAAAUUCUUAUCUUGACUUCUUUUAUGGUACUUAGAAAGUAGGAUGAUGAUCAAGAAGGAAAAGAAGGUGAAAGAGGAGAAGGAGAAGGAAAAGAUGGUCCAUUGAUCUCUUCAUUUGUUUGGGUCUCACUUCUGUAAAUAGGAGAUACAUCAAUUGGCAUAUGCAUUGGGCUGGACACGGGCUUCACAGUGACUAAAGCCACCACCAGCUAGUGCUUCUGGAAGCAGUGCUGUGUUCUCACUGGCCCAGGUCUCAUAUCCUUUCCUUCCCAUUUGGGUCUCUAUGCUUUGGCCACCCUGGUCUUCUUUCAAUUCCUCAAAUAAGGCAUGCUCCCUCUUACUCCCGUGACUUUGCAAGCUCUGAUUUCCUUUGCUGGGAGUAUCAUUCCCCUCCAUUCAGUCGGCCAACUUGUACUCAUCCUUCUGCUUUCUCUUUAAACAUCAUUUUCUCAGGGAAGGAAGCCCUCCUUGACCCCCAAACUAGGGUAUGUCCCCUGAUACUCUCUCAUUGCAUUCUAGGCUUCUCUGUGGCAGUCAUCAGAGUUUUGAUUAUAUAACCACUCUUACAGAUUAGUGUUUGUCCAUUAUUUCCCAGUGACGAUCAGCUCCAGGAGGGCAGGGAUGGAGUCUGUCCAGGUCGUUGCUCUAUCCCCAGAACCUAGCAGAGUGCCUGGCCGUAGCAUUCACUCCAUAAACAGUGGGUGAGGAUAAAAAAAAAGAUAUUUCUCUUAGUGAAAUAAUAAAAAACAAAAUUAGAGACUGCUUUUCCAAAUGGCUUUCUGGGAAACAUACUACAUAAAAUUCUGAAAUGAAUCAGGCCACUUGGUAACUUGAUACUGACUUAAAUCUAAACCAAGCACGGUGCUGUCCCAUUUCACAAGUGAAGAGUCAGAGCAGGCAAAGGGCUCCUGCAGAUCGCCCUGGUCGUGAGUCAACGGUGGGCGCAACCUCUCAUCCGUCCCUGCUUGCUCUCGGGUAUUUUUUGUGGGAUGUUGACAUGGCGGUGACUUGGCAGCCAUAUGGCUGUGAGCCCUUGUCCUGAAGGAAAAGGGAACAACAUUAGACUCAGAACCCCGUCUCAGCUGCUGUAGGAGCUAUGCAACAACCUUGGGCAGCUCUGAGCUUCAGUUUCCUAACUUGUGAAAUGGAGAGAAUAUUAUCUUUCUAGAACCUAUUUGUAGAGUUGUUUGCAAGAUUCAAAUGUGCUAAUGUGGGUAGAAGUGCUUUCCCGAGAGACUGGCACUAAGCAGGUGCUCAAGAAAUUUUAACUGGCAUCUAGUGCUUUUCCAGGAUGAGGGUUUAUUUCAAAUGCUGGGAGCAUGUUUCAUUUGAACUAAUGAGUCAGCAACUCCAUUAAUAAAGAAAAAGAGUACCUCAUCUUUUGCUGGUGGAUAAAAAGGCUUAUUUAGUUCCUGGCCCAGUGGCAGAAACCUGAAGACAAUGAUUUGAUUCCCAAAUUAUGAACAUGUACUUUCUUCCCAGUGUGAGAGGCUGAACAAAGAUCAGUGCCACAUUGAAUGAAGCCACUCUUUCAAAGACCCUGUGGGUGGCUUGUUCAUCCUUAGCAGAUGAGACAUGGUUAAAGUUUGUUUCUGUAGAAAAGACUUUUUUUUUUAAGAUUUUAUUUUUAAGUACACCCAAUGUGGGGCUCAAACUCACAAUUUGGAGAUCAAGAGUCAUAUUUGUUUCUGUAGAAAAGACUUUUUUUUUAAGAUUUUAUUUUUAAGUACACCCAAUGUGGGGCUCAAACUCACAAUUUGGAGAUCAAGAGUCAUACGUUCCACCAACUGAGCCAGCUAGGCGCCCCAGGAUCUGACGUUUUUUGAGCAACUUCUAUGCCAGGUAUGCUGUUAAAACACUUUUCGCAUGCUAUUUUGUUUACUCAUCUUAUUUCUGUGAUGAAUUAUUGCCCCUAUUUUCAUGAUAAGAAAAUUCAGAUUCAAGGUCGCAUAAGCUGGUAACUAGAGAGCUGGUAUUCCAACCCAAGUGUGUCUGAAGCCAAAUCCCCAUGCACCUCCAAACAUAUUAUAUUCUCCCCCUGGGGAAGCACAUUCCAUGGGAGUAAAGACCAAGAGUAAAGAUCAGAAAACUUAGUCCAGUGGUAACUAUGAAUAUUUAUUAUUAUUGCCUGAUAGCUUUAGAAAUCACCAAUUUCCUUUGGAAUGUAGAACUUUUCAUUUCUUUUUAUAGAAGCCCACUGUUUCCGAUUUUCUCUUUCUCUGUUUGAUGGUGCAUGAAACCCCCUGGUCAGAGAGGCUGUUUGGGAGAGUGGGGAAAGCACUGGACUAGGGACGGUUUCUAGCCCCGAGUGUCUCCUUUGCAUGACUUUGGGGAGUUCAUUCAACAUCUCUGAGCCUCAUUUUUCUUAUGUGUGAAAUGAGGGCAAUGAUGCUGCUGGGGUGCUUGCCUACAUUUAUGGAUUUCGCAAGGAUCUAUUGAGGUAAUUGUUGUGUAAUGUUGUGCAAAAGACUACUUUUUUUAUUCUAAGACAGAGUCACCCCUUUGCUCCCACUUUCUAAAUGCCUAUAGGCCCUCUUGGCAUUCUUUACCUGAUGUGAAUUUAUGGAGAGUGGAUGUAAUAGCAAAAUCUCUCUUGCUAUGACUUACAUGCAUCCUGAAGUGUUUCACUUUUUGCAUAGAGGAAUGCGUUCCAACUGGAGGAGACGCAAUUCUAUUUUGAGGUUGUAGACUCAAGGCGCCACUAAACAGAUUCAUCUGCUUUCAUUGACAUAAAGUGAAUCUUUCAUUUGUGGAUGGCCUUACUGCUCAAACCCCAUCUGUUACUGCAGCCCAUGGCUUUAUCUGGCGAGUCUUUUCACUGUCAGAAUCAAAGCCAAACAUUGCAGGGACUAAUGGUUUCACUGAGGCAGUCAUUUCCGUGACCAGAGAAGCCUCCUCUGGGGGUUUCUGUCACUGUCAGAGACUCUUGAUGGGAUUACAACCCCUUAGUUCAUUUUUGCUCUUAUUUAUUGUUUGAAUAAGCUCUAUACCUAGCUCUCCAUGCCUUAUCUGAGGAGACAGAGCCAGCCAUGAAUGAGUCAUAGGGUCCACUCAAUUGCAUUUCCACAAUUUUAUUAGGAUGGCUGGGUAGAUUAGCUUUGUUAAACAUGGAAUAACUGUUUUGAGUGCUCAUCAGAGUCUCCCACAUUUCCUAGAAUGAUUUUGUAAUUUUCACAGAAGCAUCUGUGAAAAGAGAGCAGGUGACCUGACUGGCUGGGUCAUGAUUCUGCCAGUCUCAGGGGUAACCUUGAGUAUGGCCAAAAACCCUUUGGUCUUGGUUGGUGGUAUGGAUAAAGUAUCAUGGAAGUUAGGGGGUGGUAGGGAAAGUUUCUCUAGGGGGAUAUUUGAGAGUUGGGCUUUAAAUUAUGAACUUGAUUUCACCAGGCAGAUAGAAGCAAGGGCAAGGGACAUUCUUCACAGGGGAAGCUGACUGAACAGAGCAACGCAAAGUGAAAGUUGAUAAUGUUUCAGAUUCCCAUCCAGAAGCUUGUUACACUGUUUCAGGAAAACUUUCCCAACACCUGAAGAAUUUCUGUGUUCCCCCCUCCCUGUCUGAGAUACCUACUUACCAUAUCACCAGCUUCUGGAUCUACUGUGUCUGGGAUCCAGGUUGAAGCCAAAGCCACACCCUCAUGCUCUGGAUGGCUCAGAAAUUCCAAGAAGUUUUCCUGCUACUGCACUGACUGGAACAGACUAGAAGGCAAUACCACUGAUAACAACAGAAGAAUCUCAAAGCCACAGAGGCAGGCAGCCCCGGGAGAAAACCCUUGAUCUACUACUUUCUGUUCAAAGAGAUAUUGUACAAGUUACUUAGCCUUGGUCAUAGGUCAGAUUUUCUUGGAAAGAGAGUCUGAGACUCUUGAGAUUUAUGUGAGGAAGCUAACUGGAAAACAGGUUCAGGAACAACAUCUGUGAUGGGCAGAAGGAGGAGCUGGACCAUGAUAAAGUUUCAAUGGAGACCUCUGGCAAUCCCACAGGGAACCCUGGAGCUGGGAUGUCUCUUCAGAGUUUUCCCAGGAGAGGACAAGUAAUGGGGCUUUUGUGCAUCUGUGUUGACCAGUCAGAGAUGCAGACUGCCUUUAGAGAAAGGGUAUGAGAUGAAAGCUCUAUUUGGCUGAAUCUGGGGGUAGCAGGCAGAGCUCCUGAGAGCAGUGGAAUGAGUGCCUCCAUCCUGAGGGGGUACCUGGGCAGCCCCCCAUACUUUCACCUACAUGCUCAGUAUAGCACAGGAUCAAGGAAGUCUACUUGGCCUCUUGACCUAAAAUUGCAACCCCUUAAUCUCAUAUCCCCUCUGCCCCAUCUUACUUAUAUCUAUAGUAUUUAUCAUGAACUGACAUAUAGUUUAUAUUAAUUUUUCUAUUGUCUUUCUGGAACUGCUCUGGAAUGAACUCCAAGCUACUGGAGGGCAAGGACUUUGUUUUGCUCAUGACUAUAUGCCCAGUCCCAACAGGGUUUGGCACAGAGUGAACUCUCAAUAAAUAUUUGUGGAGUGGAAUAAAUGAAUGAAUAAAUAUGACACAUGCUCAGUGUUGACUAUAUGGGAAGCACUCUAGUUCUAAGCACUUGCAGUAACUAAUAUAAUCUUUACAACAACUCUCUAGGGGAGGCCCUAUUAUUAUCCCCAUUUUAGAGAUGAAGAAACUGAGGCAGAGAAUGUUUAAUUAUCUUGCCAGGUCAUGGAGCUUAGAAGUGUUAUAUUCGGGGCACCUGGGUGGCUCAGUUGGUUGAGCGACUGCCUUUGGCUCAGGUCAUGAUCCUGGAGUUCCAGGAUCGAGUCCCGCAUCGGGCUCCCUGCUCGGCAGGGAGUCUGCUUCUCCCUCUGACCCUCCCCCCUCUCAUGUACUUUCUCGCUCUCUCAAAUAAAUAAAUCAAUCUUUAAAAAAAAAAAAAGAAUUGUUAUAUUCAGGAACAGAAUCUGGCAAUGGGAUCCAUAUUCUAAAGCUCUGCCCCCUCCUUCCUUUCUAGCAAAGCUGGUUAUUUCUUCCCUUCCUCCUGUCCUCUCUUUGCUGUCUCUGGGAAUAUAUGUAUAGUAAUCACAUUGUUACAUGAUCCAGUUAUUGUGGUUGAAUAUUUGAUGGUUUGUAGGUUCAGACCAAAAGGGGAGAGCUUAGCUGAGUUCAAACUCCUGCCCUCUCUUCCCAUUUUCUCAAUACUAGCCCUUAGGACCCAAUCAAUUCCCAUUGUUGUUUUUUUCCUACAGCCACUGACAAAUGCAGAGGCUACUGUGGGCUCUGGGGCUCUUCUGUAUGCAUUACGUCAUUUGAUUAGCCCGACAGGCAGGGGAUAUGGGCAGUACAAGAGUGGCCAUGUGAAGUUUGCAGAUGAGAAAAUAGAGGCUCAGAGCCGGUUAUGAGAAGCUACUUGGAAUCAGAAUUGCUGGUUCUAAGUCCUAUAUUUUGCUCUAUCCUGCUCCUUCUUUUUCCUCGUUGGAGGCUGGAGGGCAGAAAUGAAGCCUGGAGCAUUUCUGCUGUCCGGAUUCAGUGACAGUCACUUGGAACAUUGGUGAGCAUUUCCCAUUGGCUUCCCUCGACUUGGCAAAUGAGGAAACAAGAAGUUCUAUGAUUUACCCAGGUUAUAUAGUGAUAUCACUGGGGCCGGGAGAUUCAUCUCAAGACUCACAUGCUUUUUAGCAACCCAAGUGCUUUUUCUAAGUUAACAGUUCUGGGGCUACUUACUCCAUCCACCUCUCCUUGAGUGCCUGUGUUCAUUCAAUUCUACCUUUAUCUUUCGAAGUAGUAGUAGUGUUAUCUUCAUAUUAUAGAAAACACAAGCCCUAGAGAGAUUGAAUAAUUUUCCCAAGGCCACACACUAAUUGUUUCAAGAGGUGAGGUUUCAGACAGGAUCUUUCAGAUCCUCAAACUCCAGCUUUAUUAAUUAGAAGCUUGAAGCAUAUAACCUGAAAAAUUUGUGGUUCUAGGAAUAUUUGAAAAAUUAGCUGUCUAAUGUUGGGCUAGUGGAUGAGAAGCGUGUAGUCUAACUGCCUAAUUUGAACAUAUUUCUGAGUCAUCUGGGGGUAGCCGGCUAGUCAAGAUGACCAUUUAGAUUUCUUAGAAAGAUAAUCUAAAACAGCAUCUGUAGCAUGUGAAUGUCAAGUCUCAAGCUGAAAAAUAAGAUGUGGUUGUAUUUACCAUUAAGACUCAUCUCGGGGCGCCUGGGUGGCUCAGUUGGUUAAGCGACUGCCUUCGGCUCAGGUCAUGAUCCUGGACUCCCUGGUUCGAGUCCCGCAUCAGGCUCCCUGCUCGGCAGGGAGUCUGCUUCUCCCUCUGACCCUCCCCCUUCUCAUGUGCUCUCUCUCAUUCUCUCUCUCUCAAAUAAAUAAAUAAAAUCUUAAAAAAAAAAAAAGACUCAUCUUGCUGUGACCUCACAGAGCAUUUCUGAGGAGAUCUGGUGCAAAGUUCAUAUAUUGUUAUCUAUUUCAUCCCCAAUUAAUUCAGCUGGGUUUUUUCCUGAUAAUAAUUUCUGGACUUUUUCAUGGAGUGAGGUGUUUAUUAGGUUAGAAUGUUAAGUUUACAAGUGAUUAAGAAGAGUGACUGGUGGAUGAAUGAGCCAAUCAGCGUAAGGACGGUGGAUCACAAGGCAGGAAUCCUCUUUUCUCUGCCACUAACUUGUUAGGGCCUUUGGGGAACUCCUUCUCUGGAUCUCAGUUUCCUUAUGUGAAGAUGAAAUAAAGGGCAUUUAAUUACUGUUUAAGCAUUAAUUAAGAGUUUUAAUUUACACACCUGACAGCAAACCAACCAUUUCCACAGCCUCACGGGCAAACAAAGAAAUGAACUGUAUGAGUCAGAUUAACUGUCACACCAAAUAACCCCAAUAUCAGUGGCCUCUAACUACAAGUUUUAUCUCUUGCUCAUGGGUCUGCUGGUCAGGUUUGGUCUGUGGAUCAGGUUUUGUCUGCAUGUCCGGUUUAGGAGUAUUCCCUCAUGUCCCUCAUUCCUGAACGCAGGCUGAAUAAGCAGCGGCCCCGGGACAUCUACUUCUCAUAUGGAUGUAGGAAGGGCAGAGAGAGGUUGGAAAUACACAGCGCUCAAAACCGACCUCCUGUCACUUCCACCCAAAGCAAGUCACUUGGCCAGGCCCAAAGUCAUUGAAGAGGGUGGUAUGCCCUGUCCGUAGUGCUGGGGAAAGGAGAGUGAGUAUUUCCUGACUAAUAAUGCAAUCUCCCAAUAAGCACAACCUCAAAGGCUUUAAGAAAAUUCGAAGCAGCUAGAUCUAGGAAUUAAAGAGUCUUAUUGCUCAUUACUCAGAUGCUGAUUCAACAAUCUACAGUCUUCCUACCCUUCUGGUCCCUCUCUGGGUUUGCUGGUUCUUAAGGGAAAACCUCUAUUAGACCUGGAGGUUAAACUGCAGGUCCUUUGAAAGCUUAAGAUGUUGGCUUUCAGCAUUUCUGAUCUUGAGGAUAUAAAUAUAAUUCUGAAUAACUUGGACCUAUAGUAUUAGUAACCUUUUGUGAUCUUGAUAGAACCAGAAAAACAUUUUCAAGUGGGGAUUUAUUCUCAGAUGAGUAUAUUCUAUGAUACGUCUUGCUUCCAUACAUGUCAUAAAAUUCUCUCUGACCACGUUGAUGCAUGAAUGUCAAAUAGGCAAAAUGAAGAGGUGCGCACUGAAUGAACUACCCCUCCUUCCUGAACCUUCUUUCUUUUAUGUAGGAGGAGUCCAUAGGCUGGAGAUGAUUGAACCCUGCCUCAGGCAAGCCAGUCAUAUUGUCUGUUUUAUUAGUUGAGUCAGUCUUCUGCCAUUAUAGAAUGAAGGCAUCUGCAGACACUAUGUAACUGAACAAGUGUGGCUGUGAUCCAAUAAAACUUUAUGUAUAAAAAUAUGUGGUUGGCCACGUGGCCCAUUGGGUGUAGUUUACAGACCCCUGCUCUAAGUGGCUCCUUCGUAAUAAUUGGCAUCCUUUUGACUGACACUGAUGCAUACCACAGAGGGUGGUGGGUUUCCAUCAAAUCCUUCUCUUCUGGAAACUUGAUGGUGUGUUUUUCCUGGAGAAGCAAGUCUUUCAUGUAGUCAUUCAAACCCUUCCUGUAUAUAUUUUAAAAAUUUCUCUCAACUAAAAAUCUUUUAUAGUUUUAUUGAGAUAUAAAAGACAGAUAACAUUGUAUAAUUUUAAGGUGUACAAUUUAGGGUGUAAUGAUUUGAUAUAUGUAUAUAUUCAAAAUGAUUACUGGCAAUAAAGUUUGUUAAUGUUUUUUGAACAGAGCAUGGUAUAGUGGCUGAACAGACUUCAAUCGUAGUGAUGUUUCCAGGCAUAUA